AAAAUCUUCUCCUAAAACUACAUGGCCAAAUUUAAACGUGUGGCCAUUAUCAAUAGAUUAUCAUCAUUGAGGUAUCUUGCUAAUGAAAAGAGAAAAUGUGAGAGUGACAGAAAUGUUCAGAAUGUUGAGAUUUACCUAUUGUCCAUUUUUAUCAAAACUGCCAGACAAUUUAUUACAAGAGUUGUUGCCUUAAAGUGAUAAAUAAACUCAUCAUAAAUACCAGGAUUAAAUUUUGUAUUUACGCAGCUGGCAUUUCGUCUACACAAGACUCAUCAGUGACGCUCUCAUCCCAAAAAGUUAAAAAGGCCAAAUAAAGUACGAAGUUGAAGAGCAUUGAGGACCAAAAUUCCAAAAAGUUUUUCCAAAUUUAGUUAAGGUAAUCUAUUCCUGAGGUAGAAAAAGAAAAGCCUUAGUGUUUCAAAAAUUCAAAAGUUUUGUAAACAAUCAAUUUAUAAAUAUGACCAUGUAUCAAUG
rnacentral:lncRNA from 1 species